ACAAACUUAACAACACAGAACAUGCCCUAAGAGAUUCAUACUAUUUCACGGAGUCAACGCUGAUAACAGCCGGAGGUUUUCCAAAAACAACGGGAACAGAAGCGUAGCGCAUAGAGAAGCUCCGAUACCCUCCGAAUCCAGCUUCAUCGUCCUCUUCGUCCUCCCCUUCAUCCUUAAAAUUCAAUUUAUAACUCGAAGUAUCGUACUUAUGUCUGGCGCUGUUGUCCCAGGCGCGGCCACGGCGUUGAUCGCGGUUAAACUGACGGAUAAAAGUCUUCCACCGUGGCCCAGCUACGAUCUCCGACCACUCUCGGAUCUUCAGAAUCG
rnacentral:lncRNA from 1 species